GAAAACUACAAGCGUAAGCUCAAAACUCAAAGGGUCUGGCGGCACUUUAAACUAUCUAGAGGAGCCUGUCCUAUAAUCGAUAACCCCCGUUAAACCUCACCUUCUUUGGCUUUAUCAGCCUGUAUACCGCCGUCGUCAGCUUACCCCCUAAAGGUUUCACAAGUAAGCAAAACUGGCUUUGCCCAAAACGUCAGGUCGAGGUGCAGCUUACAAGAAGGGAAGAGAUGGGCUACAUUUCCUAUUUAGGAAAUACGAAUAGUACACUGAAAUGUGUACAUUGAAGGAGGAUUUAGAAGUAAGUAAAAAAUAGAGUGUUUUACUGAAAAAGGUCUUAAAGUGCGUACACACCGCCCGUCGUUCUCUCUUUAUUUUCUUUAUUUACUUAUUAUAUAAUACUAGCACUUUGUAUAAAUGAGGGAGGCAAGUCGUAACAAGGUAAGCGUACUGGAAAGUGUGCUUGGUUAAU
rnacentral:rRNA from 1 species